GUCUACAGCCAUGCCACCCUGAACGUGCCCGAUCCUGGAACGUGUCUGAUCGCGGAAGCUAAGCAGGGUCGGGCCCGGUUAGUACUUGGAUGGGAGACCACCUGGUCAGGUGCUGUGGGCA
rnacentral:rRNA from 1 species